GACAGAGGGGGCAAGCGUUGUCCGGACUGACUGGGCGUAAAGCGCGCGCAGGCUGUCAGAGGCGUCGGUGCUCAAAGUCCACCGCUUAACGGUGGGAGGCGUGCCGAUACGCUCUGACUGGAGGGCGGGCGAGGGUGGUGGAAUUGCCGGUGUAGUGGUGAAAUGCGUAGAGAUCGGCAGGAACACCGGUGGCGAAGGCGGCUUGCUGGGCCAGUUCUGACGCUGAGGAGCGAAAGCGUGGGGAGCGAACAGG
rnacentral:rRNA from 1 species